UACAGAGGUCCCAAGCGUUGUUCGGAUUCACUGGGCGUAAAGGGUGCGUAGGUGGUGGGGUAAGUCGGAUGUGAAAUCUCCGAGCUCAACUCGGAAAUGGCAUUGGAAACUACCCUGCUAGAGGGUCGGAGGGGGGACUGGAAUACUUGGUGUAGCAGUGAAAUGCGUAGAUAUCAAGUGGAACACCAGUGGCGAAGGCGAGUCCCUGGACGACUCCUGACACUGAGGCACGAAAGCUAGGGGAGCAAACAGGAUUAGAUACCCCCGUAGUCC
rnacentral:rRNA from 1 species